GACGAACGCUGGCGGCGUGCUUAACACAUGCAAGUCGAACGGUGAAGCGCCUUCCUUUUUGGUGGGUGUGGAUGAGUGGCGAACGGGUGAGUAACACGUGAGUAACCUGCCCCCUUCUUCUGGAUAACCGCAUGAAAGUGUGGCUAAUACGGGAUAUUCUGGGUCUGUCGCAUGAUGGGUCUGGGAAAGAUAUUGUUUCGGUGGGGGAUGGGCUCGCGGCCUAUCAGCUUGUUGGUGGGGUGAUGGCCUACCAAGGCGGUGACGGGUAGCCGGCCUGGGAGGGUGGACGGUCACACUGGGACUGAGACACGGCCCAGACUCCUACGGGAGGCAGCAGUGGGGAGUAUUGCACAAUGGGCGCGAGCCUGAUGCAGCGACGCCGCGUGAGGGAUGGAGGCCUUCGGGUUGUGAACCUCUUUCGCCAGUGAAGCAGGCCUGCCUCGUUUGUGGGUGGGUUGACGGUAGCUGGAUAAGAAGCGCCGGCUAACUACGUG
rnacentral:rRNA from 1 species